CCUACGGGCGGCAGCAGUGAGGAAUAUUGGUCAAUGGGCGCGACCCUGAACCAGCCAAGCCGCGUGAGUGAGGACGGCCCUACGGGUUGUAAACCUCUUUUGCCGGGGAGCAACGGGCGUCACGUGUGGCGCCACUGAGAGUACCCGGAGAAACAGCAUCGGCUAACUCCGUGCCAGCAGCCGCGGUAAUACGGGGGAUGCGAGCGUAAUCCGGCUUUAUUGGGUUAAAGGGUGGCGUAGGCGGAUCGUUAAGUCAGUGGUAAAAUUGAGGGGCUCAACCCCUUCCCGCCAUUGAAACUGGCGUUCUUGAGUGGAAGAGAGGUAAGCGGAAUGCGUGGUGUAGCGGUGAAAUGCAUAGAUAUCACGCAGAACCCCGAUUGCGAAGGCAGCAUGCCGGCUUCCGACUGACGCUGAAGCACGAAAGCGUGGGGAUCGAACAGGAUUAGAUACCCCAGUAGUC
rnacentral:rRNA from 1 species